CAGUAGCCACGGUAAUACGAAGGGUGCAAGCGUUAAUCGGAAUUACUGGGCGUAAAGCGUGCGUAGGCGGUUUGUUAAGUCUGUUGUGAAAUCCCCGGGCUCAACCUGGGAAUGGCAAUGGAUACUGGCAAGCUAGAGUGUGUCAGAGGAUGGUGGAAUUCCCGGUGUAGCGGUGAAAUGCGUAGAGAUCGGGAGGAACAUCAGUGGCGAAGGCGGCCAUCUGGGACAACACUGACGCUGAGGCACGAAAGCGUGGGGAGCAAACAGGAUUAGAGACCCCGGUAGUCCCUGUCUCUUAUAC
rnacentral:rRNA from 1 species